GGAGCUUGCUCCCUGAUGUUAGCGGCGGACGGGUGAGUAACACGUGGGUAACCUGCCUGUAAGACUGGGAUAACUCCGGGAAACCGGGGCUAAUACCGGAUGGUUGUUUGAACCGCAUGGUUCAAACAUAAAAGGUGGCUUCGGCUACCACUUACAGAUGGACCCGCGGCGCAUUAGCUAGUUGGUGAGGUAACGGCUCACCAAGGCAACGAUGCGUAGCCGACCUGAGAGGGUGAUCGGCCACACUGGGACUGAGACACGGCCCAGACUCCUACGGGAGGCAGCAGUAGGGAAUCUUCCGCAAUGGACGAAAGUCUGACGGAGCAACGCCGCGUGAGUGAUGAAGGUUUUCGGAUCGUAAAGCUCUGUUGUUAGGGAAGAACAAGUACCGUUCGAAUAGGGCGGUACCUUGACGGUACCUAACCAGAAAGCCACGGCUAACUACGUGCCAGCAGCCGCGGUAAUACGUAGGUGGCAAGCGUUGUCCGGAAUUAUUGGGCGUAAAGGGCUCGCAGGCGGUUUCUUAAGUCUGAUGUGAAAGCCCCCGGCUCAACCGGGGAGGGUCAUUGGAAACUGGGGAACUUGAGUGCAGAAGAGGAGAGUGGAAUUCCACGUGUAGCGGUGAAAUGCGUAGAGAUGUGGAGGAACACCAGUGGCGAACGCGACUCUCUGGUCUGUAACUGACGCUGAGGAGCGAAAGCGUGGGGAGCGAACAGAUUAGAUACCCUGGUAGUCCACGCCGUAAACGAUGAGUGCUAAGUGUUAGGGGG
rnacentral:rRNA from 1 species